GGGGAGAUAUAAACAAGAAGAAUCAGGACUGAAUAAACUGCUGUUAGAAGGACUGGUGGUCGUUCUUGCUGGUCGAGAGCAGGCGCGACAAUUGGUGGCCCAUACGGGGAACCGACUCCCCCACCGAGUUCAGAACUUUCAGCAGUCAGUGGUUGCCGGCAGGGUAAGUUCACGGUGAGUGAAACUUGCGACCCCAGGAGUUUGGGAAGGACCUCAGAUAAAAUAGAGGUGAGCAUAAAGUUGCCUGGAAGCAGGCACAAAGUAACAUAGGUUCCCGGUUUUGGGAUAAGUUAAGGUUCCCGGUUUCGGGACAGAUUAAGGAACUAUGAUAACCUCAGUGUAGUGAUCAAUAGAUCCUCGCUGUGUAGUUAUGCUUUUUUCUCCCAUUGACCCUUUGUGGGUAGGUCUGAUAGUUUUGGUCUUGUUUGUUCUGAUAUAUGGACUCUGUUACUGUUUGAAUCGAGAGGCAGUCAAGACAGGUCAGAAAAUCCUUAUAGAGCAACAAGAGAGUAUGUCGGAGGAAGAGAAGGGCUUAAAAAGAAAAAAGAAAAAGAAAGGAGAUCCGGAUUUAAAUUCAGUGAGGAGUCUGACCCCUGAGGCUAGACAAGCCCUAUCCACUGUAGAAAAGGAACUGAGUAAAGCGCAAUUAAUGAGAUGUAAGGAAGGAAUGCCCAUCAAACUUUUGAUACUGCAAACAGAAAUGCAGCCCACUGGUUUAGUUUGGCAGGAUGGACCUUUGCUCUGGAUUCAUCCAAGAAUAUCCAUGGGUAAGACUGUGGAACAUUAUCCAACUGCAGUAGCAAAUUUGGCGUUGGUAGGAGUUCAACAAUGUUUGCAGCAUUUUGGAUGUCAACCAAGUAUACUGGUUACUCCCUAUGAUAGUCAUCAGCAAAAGGUUUUGGUAGCCACAGUGGAUGAAUGGGCCAUUCUGUUUUGCAGCUUUAAUGGCAUAAUAGAUAAUCAUUAUCCAAAACAUCCAUUGGUUACCUUUUAUAAAGCUUAUGCUAUUGUGUUUCCUAAGAUAGUGCAGGAAAGGCCCAUUUCAGGAGCGGUGAAUGUGUUUACAGAUGGGUCCAAAACUGGAUGUGGAGCCUAUCUUAUUGAAUCUCAACAACCAGUUCUUAGGUAAUAUCAACCCGGAGCACCCCAACUGGUAGAGUUACAACUUGUAUUAGAAGUAUUUAAAAAUUGUCCUUUUUCUUUCAAUUUAAUUUCGGAUUCUCAGUAUGUGGUUAAUAUGGUUAAAGGAUUAGAAGUUGCAGGACAAAUUCGAUCGCAUAGUCCUAUAUUUGAAUUGGCCUCUACAUUGCAGCAGCUCAUUUGGCAGCGCUCCACUCCAGUGUAUAUUAAUCAUAUUCGCGCCCAUACAGGGCUCCCAGGACCUUUGAGCAGAGGGAAUGAUGUUGUGGAUGCCUGCAUGCGAAUGCAAUUUGUGUUUCUAUCCACCACCUUAGAAUUGGCCAAAGCCUUUCAUGAUAAGUUUCAUGUUAAUUCUAGUACCUUGCAGAAAAGGUUUCAUAUCUCUAGGGCUGAAGCACGAGACAUAGUUGUCUCCUGUGGGCAUUGUGCUGUGUUCCAACAUCCUCCUUCUUUUGGAGUGAAUCCUCGAGGCCUAUUGCCCCUUCAGGUGUGGCAAAUGGACGUUACUCAUGUUCCUGAGUUUGGAAAGCUUAAAUAUGUCCAUGUCUCAGUGGAUACCUGCUCAGGUAUCGUACAUGCCACACCUAUGUCAGGGGAAAAAGCAAUUUAUGCUAUCCAGCAUUGUCUCGAUGCCUGGGCUGCCUGGGGUAAACCCCAACAGCUUAAAACAGAUAAUGGAUCUGCUUAUACUGCAAAGACCUUUAUGUCCUUUUGUCAACAAAUGGAAGUGCAAGUGAAGCAUGGCUUGCCCUAUAAUCCUCAAGGGCAGGGAAUUAUUGAAAGAACCCAUAGAACCAUCAAAGAGAUGUUAUACAAACAAAAGGAGGGAAUAGGCUAUAGCCGCACCCCUAAGAUGAGACUUUCUUUAGUUCUUUAUACUUUAAAUUUUGUAAAUUUGAAUAAAGAUGGCCAUGCAGCAGCAGAUAGACAUGUUCAAAGAGUACCUGGCCUACAAGGAUAUGCCAGAUGGAAAGAUGUGCUUACAGGCAUAUGGAAAGGACCAGAUCCGGUGUUGAUGUGGGCGAGAGGGUCUGUUUGUGUGUUUCCACAGGACCAGACAGAACCUCUUUGGGUGCCGGAGAGAUUGGUGAGACGCUGCAAGAAUGAGGCUCCUGAUCCAGUUGCCCCUGUGGAUGUGGUGGAUGAUCCCACAAGCACAAAGGAUGGAGCCGAGAUGAGAGAUCCUUUCGGUAUUCCAGAAGCCGAUACCAGCUCGACAUGACAUUCAAAUUUUUCACGCUUUUUGAUCCCUGAACUCCCCUUAAAGAGAUAGCCCCUAUGGCCAUCUAUCCCUUGCUUCAGGGAAGAUGAGUGGGGAUGAGAGCCCUGGGAUGUAUGCUUGUUAUAGUGUGUGUGUGUUGUAUGUUUGGCACAUGUGUUAGGUGCAGGGUGUGCGGGCCCACACUUUCGCCAUGGUAGCGUAGGCUUUUGCUGCAGUGGAGGCAGGACAAUCUCCUCAGAUUCGGUUUGCCGCUCUAAAAGAAAUUAUGCUGUGUUAUGCCGUGGGGUGCGAGGCUAAGCACUGCACAGUUGCUGUUGGCAUCCUGUGGAAGGCACGUCUGAUUGCAUGAAGGUUCAGUGUUCUAGUUCCCUUCCCCCAGGAAAAACGACACGAGAGCUGGCCAAGACCUCUCUGGGUGAUGAGCCUAAGGGAUGGUUUUGUGUAGGGCCCCUAUGCUUGCACACUGGGGAUCAGACCUCUACCUUCACCCAUGAGGCUUGCUUGCAGCAAUUAAGAUCUGGCCAUAGGUUAAUUAACAUCCUGGCCUUUUGAUGCACCUGCCGCAAGCAAAACACAAUCUCCCCAGGAGUGGCUUGGCAUGAUUGAGAGGUAGUCAGUGAUAAGACUCCCUGGGCAUGUCACCAACCUAAGACAGGGAUCAAACCAAUGCUGUUUGUCUCCCAAAGACAGGUAAGGGGCAUGGUUGCGAGGGGCUAUCUACAGACAUUCUCUCUGCCAAAAAAGAAAAAAGGGGGAAUUGUGGGGAGCGGGUGUGGCAGCAGUCCCAAAGGCGCCAGGGACUGCAGCUAAGUCAUAUGACUUGCACCUGACUUCCUCAUAUAAGACACAAACAUCUUGAGUGCUGCGCAGGUGUACCAGGAUACAGGUGAAUCCAAUUUGGUGGAGAUUUGCCCCUGCUGCCCUGAUUAGCUGAAGCCUCGUGACUGGCGAGGGGGCGUGGCCUGCGGUGCGUGGAUGAGAGAGAGUAUAAAAGGAGUGAGAGGCCCAGGGUUCGGGGGAGAUAUAAACAAGAAGAAUCAGGACUGAAUAAACUGCUGUUAGAAGG
rnacentral:lncRNA from 1 species